GAUGAACGCUGGCGGCGUGCCUAAUACAUGCAAGUCGAGCGAACGGAUUAAGAGCUUGCUCUUAUGAAGUUAGCGGCGGACGGGUGAGUAACACGUGGGUAACCUGCCCAUAAGACUGGGAUAACUCCGGGAAACCGGGGCUAAUACCGGAUAACAUUUUGAACCGAAUGGUUCGAAAUUGAAUGGCGGCUUCGGCUGUCACUUAUGGAAGGACCCGCGUCGCAUUAGCUAGUUGGUGAGGUAACGGCUCACCAAGGCAACGAUGCGUAGCCGACCUGAGAGGGUGAUCGGCCACACUGGGACUGAGACACGGCCCAGACUCCUACGGGAGGCAGCAGUAGGGAAUCUUCCGCAAUGGACGAAAGUCUGACGGAGCAACGCCGCGUGAGUGAUGAAGGCUUUCGGGUCGUAAAACUCUGUUGUUAGGGAAGAACAAGUGCUAGUUGAAUAAGCCGGCACCUUGACGGUACCUAACCAGAAAGCCACGGCUAUCUACGUGCCAGCCGCCGCCGUAA
rnacentral:rRNA from 1 species